AACAGCUGACACUGGCACAUGGGGUGGGAGUUGUUAUGGUAAAAAUAGCAUUAUAAAAGCUAUAAGGGGGUCAGUAGUUCUUGGCGUGCAUCGGCCGCGUGAGUAGGGGGGUGCAGGCCUACUCGCUGAUGAGUAGCGGGACCCAACAAACUUUCAACCCCCGAAAUUUUUAGUGCGUGCCUCGCUGCCUCCGCAAAGUGACGAAAUGCUGCAAGUUCCGAGCCCAAUUGGAGGCGUCUCAGGAUUCCACGAGCAGCAGAAGGAAAGAAAUGUGAAGCCAAGUUCAAGGUUGACGAAACAUAGAAAAACGUGGCAGAGCGAAUGCCAAGGGACACACUGCCAGCUCAUGUGUCCGAUAAAAUGAAGCGUGAGAUUCUUUUUGAACCGUGCGGUCGCUCAGGCUGCAGCCGCGCGCGCGCCCGUCGAAUUGGCCGAGAGUCCGAGGAGCCGCGCUGCCGAGGGACGAAGCGCCGCUCGCCGUCAACACAGACCCAGGAAUCCGCUCACUUCUCGCACAGCUCUCGCUUGUAAACCACAACGAUUAAGAUCGAUUCCCAGAAUUUUAAGCGAUAGAAACAAAAUUUAACCAGGGAAAAAUCGCAUGAAUGAUUUGAUUUUUCGCAUUUCAGAGCUCAACCAAGUAUAUCAAGUGAUUUUGUAUUUUAAUUUAUCUAGAAAUGCAUAUUUUUACCAUCUGUCUAAAUGGACGAUCGGGGCAGUUAUGGAAUGAUUUCUAUGCUGCUUCAGUUAAAUCACAAUUAAAUUAAAUUCUUGAUUGAAAUGCCAAAUACUUUUAAGAAUUUAAAUCUGAUUCAUGGUAAGGCUGUGAUCAUUGAUCUCAUUCAAUAUGAGUGCAACGCAAGUAUAUAGUGAACAUUUUCACUAUUUUAUUAAAUUUUUAUCUGCAUCAAUGCUGGUGUAGAUUGUGAUUGGUGAAGAGUUCCUAGUAGAUAUCAGAAUAAGUGUUUGAAUAUUAAAAAAUCAUUUUAAAAUUUCAAUUUUGUUUGUGAAGCAAUAAAAUGACAAAAUCAAUAAACAA